AACGAACGCUGGCGGCAUGCCUAACACAUGCAAGUCGAACGAGACCUUCGGGUCUAGUGGCGCACGGGUGCGUAACACGUGGGAAUCUGCCCUUUGCUUCGGAAUAACAGUUAGAAAUGACUGCUAAUACCGGAUGAUGUCGAAAGACCAAAGAUUUAUCGGCAAAGGAUGAGCCCGCGUAGGAUUAGGUAGCUGGUGGGGUAAAGGCCUACCAAGCCGACGAUCCUUAGCUGGUCUGAGAGGAUGAUCAGCCACACUGGGACUGAGACACGGCCCAGACUCCUACGGGAGGCAGCAGUGGGGAAUAUUGGACAAUGGGCGAAAGCCUGAUCCAGCAAUGCCGCGUGAGUGAUGAAGGCCUUAGGGUUGUAAAGCUCUUUUACCAGGGAUGAUAAUGACAGUACCUGGAGAAUAAGCUCCGGCUAACUCCGUG
rnacentral:rRNA from 1 species